rnacentral:rRNA from 1 species
CAGUCGCCGCGGGAAUACGUAGAGUGCGAGCGUUAAUCGGAAUUACUGGGCGUAAAGCGUGCGCAGGCGGUUCGUUAAGACAGAUGUGAAAUCCCCGGGCUUAACCUGGGAACUGCAUUUGUGACUGGCGAGCUAGAGUAUGGCAGAGGGGGGUAGAAUUCCACGUGUAGCAGUGAAAUGCGUAGAGAUGUGGAGGAAUACCGAUGGCGAAGGCAGCCCCCUGGGCCAAUACUGACGCUCAUGCACGAAAGCGUGGGGAGCAAACAGGAUUAGAUACCCCUGUAGUCCCUGUCUCUUAUAC